UACAGAGGUCUCAAGCGUUGUUCGGAUUCAUUGGGCGUAAAGGGUGCGUAGGUGGCAGAAUAAGUCGGGUGUGAAAUCUCGGAGCUCAACUCCGAAACUGCACUCGAUACUGUUUUGCUAGAGGACUGGAGAGGAGAUUGGAAUUCAUGGUGUAGCAGUGAAAUGCGUAGAUAUCAUGAGGAAGACCAGUGGCGAAGGCGGAUCUCUGGACAGUUCCUGACACUGAGGCACGAAGGCUAGGGGAGCAAACGGG
rnacentral:rRNA from 1 species